rnacentral:misc_RNA from 1 species
GAUGAAGAACGUAGCGAAAUGCGAUAAGUAGUGUGAAUUGCAGAAUUCAGUGAAUCAUCGAAUCUUUGAACGCACAUUGCGGCCAUAGGUAUUCCUUUGGCCAUGCCUGUUCGAGCGUCAUUUACACCCUCAAGCCUAGCUUGGUGUUGGGCGCCUGUCCCGCCGUUUUCGCGCGCGGACUCGCCUCAAAGUCAUUGGCGGCGGUCGUGCCGACCCCCUCGCGCAGCACAUUUGCGCUUCUCGGAGGCCCGGCGGAUCCGCGCUCCAGCAAGACCUUUCACGACUUGACCUCGGAUCAGGUAGGGAUACCCGCUGAACUUAAGCAUAUCAAUAAGCGGAGGA